rnacentral:rRNA from 1 species
GCAAUUGGAUUGAGAACAAUGUACAAAUGUUAUCGAUAAACAAUUGGAGGGCAAGUCUGGUGCCAGCAGCCGCGGUAAUUCCAGCUCCAAUAGCGUAUAUUAACGUUGUUGCAGUUAAAAAGCUCGUAGUUGAAUUGAAGUGAACUUGGGUUGAUGUGAUCUUCGGAUGACAUGAAUCAAAGUUGACUCUUUCCAAAGUCAAUACAUUGGUAUUCAUUUAUCUUUGUAUUGUGUUUGGUCAUUUACUGUGAGAAAAUUAGAGUGUUCAAAGCAGACGUUUGUUUGAAUACAUUAGCAUGGAAUAAUCAUAUAUGGCUUUCAUGUUGAUUUGAUUGGUUUGAAUAUGGAAGCAAGAUUAAAAGGGACAGUUGGGGGUAUUCAUAUUCAAUAGUCAGAGGUGAAAUUCUGGGAUUUAUGGAAGAUGAACAAGUGCGAAAGCAUUUACCAAGGAUGUUUUCAUUAAUCAAGAACGAAAGUUAGGGGAUCGAAGAGGAUUAGAUACCCUCGUAGUCUUAACUAUAAACGAUACCGACUAGGGGUUAGUAAUGGUCAUUGUGUGUUUACUAGUACCUUAUGAGAAAUCAAAGUCUUUGGGUUCCGGGGGGAGUAUGGUCGCAAGGCUGAAACUUAAAGGAAUUGACGGAAGGGCACCACCAGGA